AGAGUUUGAUCCUGGCUCAGAACGAACGCUGGCGGCGUGGAUAAGACAUGCAAGUCGAACGAGACUUUUCGUUGUAGCAAUACGAUGGAAAGUUUAGUGGCGAACGGGUGCUUAACACGUGGGCAACCUGCCAUGAAGUGGGGGAUAGCUCGUCGAAAGGCGAAUUAAUACCGCAUGUGAUUAGAGUGGACAUCCAUUCAAAAUUAAAGUCGGGGCAACCUGACGCUUCUUGUGGGGCCCGCGGCCUAUCAGCUAGUUGGUGAGGUAACGGCCCACCAAGGCUUUGACGGGUAGCUGGUCUGAGAGGACGACCAGCCACACUGGGACUGAGACACGGCCCAGACACCUACGGGUGGCAGCAGUCGAGAAUUUUUGACAAUGGGGGAAACCCUGAUCGAGCGACGCCGCGUGGAGGAUGAAGGUCUUCGGAUUGUAAACUCCUGUCAUUGGGGAACAAUGCACAGAUAUUAACUGUAUUUGUGUUGAUAGUACCCGAAGAGGAAGGGACGGCUAACUCUGUGCCAGCAGCCGCGGUAAUACAGAGGUCCCAAGCGUUGUUCGGAUUCAUUGGGCGUAAAGGGUGCGUAGGCGGCGCGGUAAGUCGGGUGUGAAAUCUCGGGGCUUAACUCCGAAACUGCAUUCGAUACUGCCGUGCUUGAGGACUGGAGAGGAGACUGGAAUUUACGGUGUAGCGGUGAAAUGCGUAGAUAUCGUAAGGAAGACCAGUGGCGAAGGCGGGUCUCCGGACAGUUCCUGACGCUGAGGCACGAAGGUCAGGGGAGCAAACGGGAUUAGAUACCCUAGUAGUCC
rnacentral:rRNA from 1 species